GACGAACGCUGGCGGCGUGCUUAACACAUGCAAGUCGAACGGAAAGGCCCUGCUUUUGUGGGGUGCUCGAGUGGCGAACGGGUGAGUAACACGUGAGUAACCUGCCCUUGACUUUGGGAUAACUUCAGGAAACUGGGGCUAAUACCGGAUAGGAGCUCCUGCUGCAUGGAGGGGGUUGGAAAGUUUCGGCGGUUGGGGAUGGACUCGCGGCUUAUCAGCUUGUUGGUGGGGUAGUGGCUUACCAAGGCUUUGACGGGUAGCCGGCCUGAGAGGGUGACCGGCCACAUUGGGACUGAGAUACGGCCCAGACUCCUACGGGAGGCAGCAGUGGGGAAUAUUGCACAGUGGGCGGAAGCCUGAUGCAGCAACGCCGCGUGCGGGAUGACGGCCUUCGGGUUGUAAACCGCUUUCGCCUGUGACGAAGCGUGAGUGACGGUAAUGGGUAAAGAAGCACCGGCUAACUACGUG
rnacentral:rRNA from 1 species